rnacentral:lncRNA from 1 species
GAGGCAGACUCUGCUUUUCCUUCCCAUUGUUUCUUUCUUUUAUACCACAGUAUUCAUAUUUUAAAAUGUUUUAACUUAUUUCAGAACAUUAAGAUAGCAGUUACAUUUGUUAAUAGUUAUAUUAUUUUAAAAUGACUCUAAGAUAAAGUUUUAGAGAAACUAUAUUAUGUACUUUUAAAAUGAUUAUUAUAUAUGGCAAUCUUUAAACAGGUGUUUUGAUUCUUCCUACAGAAACUCAAAGGUAUUCAGUGGGACUCAGAUUUUAAAAUUCUCUGAUUCUGAUGAACUCUAAUAUUCCAAUGUUGUCUUCUAAGCAAACUGAAAGCUGCCUUAU